rnacentral:rRNA from 1 species
GAUGAACGCUAGCGGGAGGCCUAACACAUGCAAGCCGAGCGGGAUUUGUUGGUUAGCUUGCUAACUAACAAUGAGAGCGGCGUACGGGUGCGUAGCACGUGUGCAACCUGCCUUUAUCUGGGGGCUAGCCUUUCGAAAGGAAGAUUAAUACCCCAUAACAUAUUGAUUGGCAUCAGUUAAUAUUGAAAGCUCCGGCGGAUAGAGAUGGGCACGCGUAAGAUUAGCUAGUUGGUGAGGUAACGGCUCACCAAGGCUGCGAUCUUUAGGGGGCCUGAGAGGGUGAUCCCCCAGACUGGUACUGAGACACGGACCAGACUCCUACGGGAGGCAGCAGUGAGGAAGAUUGGACAGUGGGUGAGAGCCUGAGCCAGCCAGCCCGCGUGAAGGACUAAGGACCUAUGGUUUGUAAACUUCUUUUACACAGGGAUAAACCUACUCGCGUGAGGGUAGCUGAAGGUACUGUAUGAAUAAGCACCGGCUAACUCCGUG